rnacentral:lncRNA from 1 species
UCAUAUAACAAUCAGUGGAGAAGCCAACAGACUUUGCAAGAUCAUUGCCCGUCCAUGACUGGCCUUUGUCUAUAACUGGCAGGGAUUUCUCGAGUGUCAGCUGCAAUAUUUAGAUCUGGUUGGAGAGCUGGGCGCUGAGGCUGAAAGUCAAGAGAAACCCUGAACUUGGGGAAAAUAACUUUGUGGCGAAGAACCUUAGCCAAGUGAUCAAGGUCCCAGUCAUCCCUGCAGCCUGGCCGUGCCUUCUGUAAGCCUGUUGCAUCAUAAGCUCUCUGCCAGCAAAACUCCUGCAAUAGAAAACCAUCUGGAGAAGAGCCAGGCAAGGGCCUUGCCAUCGGUGUUCUGGGCGCUGGGAGUGAUCAUGCAGAGACCAGAGCAGCGGCAAAACAGGGACCAUUUUCUCCAACCUGCCUAUAGCUGCUGCCCUCGGGGCUUGCUCUGAUACCCUAUUUUUAAAAGCAGGCUCUUAGAAUAAUAAAACCAGAGAAUCCUUGAAUACAGAACCAUUGACUCUUAGAAUCAUAAGCUAUUAAGAGAAGAACCAUGAAAUUCCAGAAUCUUGGCAUUGGAAGUUACCUCCCAGGUCAAUGGGUCCUGUCUCCCCACCUAAGCAACAUGUAUUUCUUCUGAGGAAACUGGGUGCAACGACGAUGUGGCCACAACACCUUGUAGAUAUGGGACGAUGUCCAAGGUGGCCACAAAGGUUUCAGGAGAAGGAGGAGGCCCUAGAAACUCUUGACAAUGCCCUCAGCACUGCUUCCAAGGAGCUCCAGUCUUACAGACAGACCAUCCCUGAGAGAAACAAGAGAAAAUGGGAAAUUCUGACUUCUCUCUACUUCAGAACUAUGGACUAUUUUAGUUGGCAUUUUUGCCCCCUUCCAACUUUUUUUUGGCUUUGCUAUCUAAAACAAAUAAAUAAAAACAGCUGA